rnacentral:rRNA from 1 species
CACGUAGGGCGCAAGCGUUGUCCGGAAUUAUUGGGCGUAAAGAGCUCGUAGGCGGUCUGUUGCGUCCGCUGUGAAAACUCGGGGCUUAACCCCGAGCCUGCAGUGGAUACGGGCAGACUAGAGGUAGGUAGGGGAGAAUGGAAUUCCCGGUGUAGCGGUGAAAUGCGCAGAUAUCGGGAGGAACACCGGUGGCGAAGACGGUUCUCUGGGCCUUACCUGACGCUGAGGAGCGAAAGCGUGGGGAGCGAACAGG